GAUGAAGAACGUAGUGAAAUGCGAUAAGUAAUGUGAAUUGCAGAAUUCAGUGAAUCAUCGAAUCUUUGAACGCACAUUGCGCCCUCCGGCAUUCCGGGGGGCAUGCCUGUCCGAGCGUCACGAAAACCCCAUCACACUCGUUGUGGUCAUGGCUGCAGUGAGUCGUCUCCAGCGGAGAGGGUCACGCCGCUGAAAGGAAUGGUGCGGAUGAGUUCCGAUGGCCGAACGUAGUACUUGACAACCGUCGGCCGAUGGGACCCUCCAUCUCGCCCUGACGACGUACCCCCGUCGUACCCCCGAUCAGGUGGACCUCGGAUCAGGUAGGGAUACCCGCUGAACUUAAGCAUAUCAAUAAGCGGAGGA
rnacentral:misc_RNA from 1 species